UGCAUUCACUACUGUAAGUUGCUCUGGAUAAGAGUGUCUGCAAAAUGACUAAAA
rfam:Salmo salar isolate Sally breed double haploid chromosome ssa24, whole genome shotgun sequence.